rnacentral:tRNA from 1 species
UCCUGGAUGGUCCAGCGGUUGGGAGUCUGCCUGACAAUGCAGAGGACACAGGUUCGAUCCCUGGUCUGGGAA